CUGGAUUUUGUUACGGGAAUUGGCCCUGUUACAAUUUCACCGCCAGAGCUCCGGUGUUGCUCUCCCGUGACUUCGGAGACCCAUUGUUUCGCGGAAAGUUGGCCGUAUUUAAACGCGUUACAGAGUUGUUCCCGCGGAGCACUCGUCGUCGCGCCGAAAGGUUUUGUGUCCCGCUAACCGAACUUCAGACGCAGCCGGACGGACACGUUUGCUGCGACUCGUUCCACGAACGGAAAAUUAACAAGCUGCCCAACUUUCGGAAGAUAUAACGGGAGGACAUUGUGGAGGACAUUGUGGUGGACGUUUAUUUACAUUCAUGGUUGUCCAUCAUUCAAGAACAUUUUAGCAGGUCUCGUUGAAUCAUGUUAUUUCUUAUAGGGGGCUGUUGAUGCAUUUAAUUUGAUGUUAUUCGUCGAGGGAAUAUACUGGUAAAUAUACAGAAGUAUUUGUUUUUGGGGGAUAAAUAUGCUAGAAAAGCUACAAAAGUGUAUUAUUUCUUGAAGAAAUAUAUUAUUGAUUUGA